UACGGAGGGUGCAAGCGUUAUCCGGAAUCACUGGGUUUAAAGGGUGCGUAGGCGGCUUGAUAAGUCAGAGGUGAAAGCCCGCAGCUUAACUGCGGAACUGCCUUUGAUACUGUUGAGCUUGAAACAGGACGAGGUUGGCGGAAUGUGGCAUGUAGCGGUGAAAUGCAUAGAUAUGCCAUAGAACACCGAUUGCGAAGGCAGCUGGCUAGACCUGAUUUGACGCUGAGGCACGAAAGCGUGGGGAGCGAAC
rnacentral:rRNA from 1 species